rnacentral:rRNA from 1 species
AUUUAAGUCUAACCUGCCCACUAGGAUUUCAAUGGCCGCGGUAUUUUGACCGUGCAAAGGUAGCAUAAUCAUUAGUUUUUUAAUUAAAAGCUAGAAUGAAUGGUUGGACGAGAAAAUAACUGUCUCAAUUUAAUUUAAAUUAGAAUUUUAUUUUUAAGUAAGAAAGCUUAAUUGAUUUUAAAAGACGAGAAGACCCUAUAGAGUUUUAUAUUUAUUAAUUAUUUAAUUUUUUAGUAUUAUAUUGAUUUUAUAAAUAGUAAGUAUUUUAUUGGGGCGAUAGAAAAAUUAAAUAAACUUUUUUUAUAUAAUAACAUUGAUUUAUGAUUUAAUGAUCCAUAUUGAAUGAUUAUAAGAUUAAAUUACCUUAGGGAUAACAGCGUAAUUUUUUUUGAGAGUUCAUAUCGAAAGAAAAGUUUGCGACCUCGAUGUUGGAUUAAAAUUAACUUUUGGUGUAGAAGCUAGAAAGUUAGGUCUGUUCGACCUUUAAAAUUUUACAUGAUCUGAGUUUAAACCGGUGUAAGCCAGGUUGGUUUCUAUCUUUAAAUAAUGAAAAUAUUUUAGUACGAAAGGACCAAAUAUUUAUAAAAUUUAUUUUAAAAUGAAUAAUAUUAA